AAGAAUGAUGGCAUCACUAUGAUCACUUCUUGCUGGAUCUGUCCAAGAGUCAAUGAGUACAGGUGGACCAUGUUGGAAAAUAACUUUCAGUCAAGACUCAAGUUGAGACAAGAGCUCCAUUGAUGUUAUUGAUCAAACUGAACAUGUUCUAGAGAUACUGGAGAAAAGAUUUGAGUGCAGUACAGACUCAUUUUCAAUUGAAAGCAAUUAAAAGAAGCAGAGAUAAAUACAAUCAGGAUUGGGUAUGAAGCAAAUUUCCCAAUGGCAAAUAAUGUAUCACUGUUGGAAAUAGAAGUGAAACUGAAGGAUGAAGAUUCUCAUGAAAAUUUGAUCUAUCCAGUGAAAACAGCAUUAAGAGAACAAUAGUAUGGAUUAUAACUUGGCUGGACUGGACAUGGCACAAAAUUUUUGUUUUGGUCAUUUUUUCUUUAGAACUACCGGUACAACAUAAUCUAAAAAAAAAUUUGUUUCAUGAUUGUCAAAACAGUUUGCUUUUCAAUUUACAUACAGCAGGCUCAUACUUUGUUUAGAUAAUUCUGAAUUACAUUCUAUAUAUAAUUUAUAGGUUUCUGUAUAGGCUAUUCAAGCUUUUGUACAUGUUAAAAUUUCAUAAAUUUGGUAGCCAUUAUAUUUUUUUAAAAUUUUAUGGUAUAAUAAGUACUUAUUGUAUUUUUAAAAAUAUAAGCAUCCAUAUUUUAAAAACUUAUUUCUAAUUUGCCAUUUUAAGCAAUUUGUUAUUACAAUUAAUAUUUAAAUGAAUAUGCUUUUACUUAUUUCAGUGUACAUAUUGCUUACAUUCCACCAACUCAAUACUUUUUUUGUUACUUUUAUUUUUUUACAUUUUUUUUACAUAAUUACAAAAGCUAAGUUGUUUUUUGUUUUUGUUUUUAUGAUUGUCAAAACUGUUUGCUUUAAACAUAAUUUUUAUACAGCACUUAUACUUUCUGUAGAUGAUCCUGAAUUAUGUUCUUUAUAAAUUUGUUAUAGAUUUUCAUGUUAUCAUUCACAACUUUUUUGUUGACUCAAUGCAUUUUCC